ensembl:ncRNA F25H8.8 ncRNA
CGCCUCACUCGUCCCAAAAACCCAUCAAUUGUCUCAGGAACCUACAUCUCGGUGGGGCGCCAGUUUGUGCAAUUUAUCACAUUUUUAUAGGAUAAAAUUAGGGAGAUAUAGGUCAACAUCGAG